UACGUAGGUGGCAAGCGUUGUCCGGAUUUAUUGGGUUUAAAGGGUGCGUAGGCGGCUUUGUAAGUCAGUGGUGAAAUAUGGCAGCUUAACUGUCAAGGUGCCAUUGAUACUGCGGAGCUUGAGUACAGAUGAGGUAGGCGGAAUUGACGGUGUAGCGGUGAAAUGCUUAGAUAUCGUCAAGAACACCUAUAGCGAAGGCAGCUUACUAGGCUGUAACUGACGCUGAGGCACGAAAAGUGUGGGGAUCAAACAGG
rnacentral:rRNA from 1 species